rfam:Strongylocentrotus purpuratus Contig16793_fixed, whole genome shotgun sequence.
GGGGAUAUAGCUCAGUGGUAGAGCGCUCGCUUCGCAUGUGAGAGGCCUCGGGUUCAAUCCCCGAUAUCUCCA